rnacentral:lncRNA from 1 species
AUCACUAUCAAGGAUUACGAAGGGUUGAUUAGGACAUCUAGGUUGGCUACUACUUUCAACUUGCUUAUCUUUUUUAGGUCGGGGAGCCGGGGGAAGGGGAGUAUUUUGGCCACUAAUUUCACCGGUUUUACCUUUUCGUUUACCGAAGAUUUUUUUCAACGAAAAUGCCAUAAUAAUUAGAAUUGAGCACACUAAAAACACAAAAAAAUACUAUUAGCAUGUAAGAGUUGAAACGAGUUUACCGGAUUGACGAACAACUUCUUGAAAAUUGAAAAUCGUUGAACUUGAACACU